AAAUAGUACUUUGCAGAGAGAGUUAACAGGGCGUGAAACCGUUAAUUGGCAAACGAAUCGGAGCCACGAAGUCGUUUCGCUGAGCCGGGUUGAGUUCAGCCUGGGACCUAGGUCCCAGGUGUAUUCUUGGCCCAGCCGUUGUAAGCGUACACUGCAACCAGUUAGACGAUUGGGGAUGGGCCCAGCUGGGGUUAGUAGUAGCGUGUUGCAUUUCGGUGCAUCAUGUUGCUGGGCCCCAGCAAGUGAACUAUCCCCAAAUACUGACUGGCAAAAUGAAAAUCGCGAAAGCGUUUCACACAAUGCGGCCAGGCACAUGGGUGCCUACGUAGCCGACCAUAGGGUUUAAGCUCGGCAUUCUUGAAUUUAGGCUUGCUCGCUACCAAUGGGGCAACUCUUGGUGCUUGUACAGUUUCUAUCUAAUCGGGUGUUGACUUGAUCCUGUGUCGUUCGGUUGCGCUAUGAUAGGGCGCCUAUGCGACCUGGUUUGCAAUUAUUGGCAGUGAGUAGGUCGGCUUUCCGAACGACCCGUCUUGAAACACGGACCAAGGAGUCUAAUUAGGCAUCAAGUCGAUCGGUUGACCCGUGUUUAAACACGGACCAAGGAGUCAUAAGUCAAGUAUUUGAGCUCAGUAAGGAAAUACGAAGUCUUUUGAUGGCAGUAUCACCCGGCGUCGACGUUUUAACUGAAAUGAGAGGUAAAGCACUUAUGAUGGGACCCGAAAGAUGGUGAUGCCUGAAUAGGGUGAAGCCAGAGGAAACUCUGGUGGAGGCUCWAGCUGACGUGCAAAUCGAUCGUCAAAUUGGGUAUAGGGGCGAAAGACUAAUCGAACCAUC
rnacentral:rRNA from 1 species